CUUUGUUUUCUUUCUCAGCUCUUCCACAGGCCAGACCAGACCAGACAAAAAAAAAACGGAUCAAGGCUUGUUUAUAUCAAGUGCUUGCAAGGUGGCCAAGGACUUUUGAUGGGAACUGGGUGCACUGAAGAAAUGAAAUUAUGCAGGCCGAGUAUCCAGAACUGGAGAGCACCCUUUAAGACAUUGAAGAGGAAAUGCAAACAACUGAGGAAUUAGAGUCUGAAAUCUGGGUACAUGGUGUUCUUUUUACCAAAUAUCUGUCUAUACUUGGGUUACUUCCUUCUCUAUCCAAAACACCCACAGCAGAGGCGAAUCAAAUAUACAGCACGUUGAAGCUAAGCUCCUACAAUAUUCUAGAGACCCUGUGAGUCAUCACUGCCUGGAGGAAUGAGCACAAGACUGGGAGCUGAGAAGUCCUAGAUCCAUCACAUCACAUCUCUGCUUCACUUUCCCCAUUGGUAGAAUGAGCGAUACGAAUGAUUAAGUGACAGGGCUGUUGUGAAGCCUUCACUGUGGAUGUAGGACAUGCUUCCACUCAAUUAAAAAUCAGAUUUCCCAAGAAAAAAUGAAGCACCAUAAGCAGAAAAGUUUCCAACAGUACAAAAAACAUAAAGAAAAGGUUGAUUAGAAAGAUACAUGAAAAUGAGUUGAAGUGCAAGGAACAAGAUGGAGAAAGAGUGAGGGUCUGGCGGAGGAGACUAUUGGAAGUAAUCUCAACACUGCGUGUUUAGGUCCUGGAAGAAGCAAAACUGAAAACUGGUCAAUCCUGGGUAAGGUCACUUAAAGCUGAUGCAAUUGUUUUCAUGAAAGUUCACAUUCAAAUGUAGCAAUUGUAUAUGUGGCCAAAGUAUCUGCAUGCAUAUUCCUGAUGAGUUGGGCCACAAGGUUGAAUCCAUUUUAAAUGUAAAAUGCAGUGGAACAGUGAUUGAAAUGGCAUUGGGAUAUUGCCAAGCCACUAAUUGAUGUGAGAGUUGCAAGGAUUAGUCUCCUAGGUAGCAAGAAAGGUAUUGAUGGUUAUCUGUUUUUACACAAGAACGCAACACAGCUGAUAUAGAGGAUCAAACCAUAGUUUUUCUACCUCAUCUGGUAUCUGGCCUCUAGCAGUUGCCAGUAUCUUGUACUUCAGGAGAAGGCAAAAACAAAACAAAAAAAACAAACAAAAACCCUGUAAUAUAGUAGGCCAAUUUGUGAAAUGGGGAAAAUCCUUCUUGACUGCUAGUUUGUUACCCUGUCUAAUGAGAUGACUGUACCCAUCUUUUGAAUAAGAACAUAAGAAGGGCCAUACAGGGUCAGAGCAAAGGUCCAUCCAGCCCAGUAUCCUGUCUACCGACAGUGGUCAAUGCCAGGUGCCCCAGAGGGAAUGAACAGAACAAGUAAUCAUCAAGUGAUCCAUCCCCUAUACUAUAUGUACUUGCAUCACCUAAGUCUGAGCACAGCCCCACUCAGAGUUUUGCAAGCUGCAUUUAUGUGUAAGCAGAGUCAGGAUGAGCUCUACCCUGACAUCUGGUGGUGAAUUAUGGCGAGUGUGGAAAAGAACUCCAGGGGCUGAUCUUGUUUGCA